ACCUCUUCUUGUGGUCUUGUUUAGAUGGUUACCAGGUGAAAAAGAGCAAGUAGCUAUUUGAAGAAAAUCUGAACUCUCACUCAUGGCGAACAAUGAUGACGAUGGGUUUGAUUUGAUUCAGCCAUCACUCAUCCAACAGUUGAGGUCCAUCCUAGAUCAGUAUCCUGAUGAUGGACAGAUACUGAAGGAACUGAUUCA